GAAGAUUGAAUGGUUAUAAGUAAAAUUAAAAUAAAAAAUUUUGUGACCAAUUGGAAAUAAAAUAGGUUUUAAAUAAAUUUGACAGGACAUUUCAAAUGACACUCAUUUUGCAAUUCGCAUUCCAGUCUUUCCUAUCCAAAUAAAUAAAUGGAAGUUAAAAUAAAUUCUUAAGUCACUUCAAGAAAUUAAAGAAUAUUGAAUUGUUGAUGAAGAGUGUACUUGCUGUUGAAAGUUGUGUCUUUGAUUCUAAGAUUUGAAGAAGGAAAACUUCUAUUUAGUGGCAAAAAUCAGCAGAUAAAAGCCACUUACCUACGAGGAAAUGGUUACUUUAGCAGAUGAGUUGUCAGAUUGAAAUAUCUGAGUGAUGAAAAAGAUAACCGACCUGGAUGAGGAUAUAAAUGAAAUUCUAAACCACAACGACAAAAAAAAUUUCAAGAAACAAGACCAAUAGAUGAUAUAUGAUAUGAUAAUACCAGACAUUUUCCCCUUCGCAAGGUUUAACCAUCUGCUUCUAGAUGUAAACUUAUUGAUUGUAGUGGUUCUUCUAUGGUUUUAUAUGAAAAAUGCAGUAUACAUUUAUGUUUGACUAAGAACAAAAUUGUUUUGUAGCUUUCCAUGUGCAAUGAUAAUAUAAAUUUUGAUUUUAUUGAA